UGUGGUUUAAUUCGAAGCAACGCGAAGAACCUUACCAGGUCUUGACAUCCUCUGACAACCCUAGAGAUAGGGCUUCCCCUUCGGGGGCAGAGUGACAGGUGGUGCAUGGUUGUCGUCAGCUCGUGUCGUGAGAUGUUGGGUUAAGUCCCGCAACGAGCGCAACCCUUGAUCUUAGUUGCCAGCAUUCAGUUGGGCACUCUAAGGUGACUGCCGGUGACAAANCCGGAGGAAGGUGGGGAUGACGUCAAAUCAUCAUGCCCCUUAUGACCUGGGCUACACACGUGCUACAAUGGGCAGAACAAAGGGCAGCGAAGCCGCGAGGCUAAGCCAAUCCCACAAAUCUGUNCUCAGUUCGGACGCAGNCUGCAACCGACUGCGUGAAG
rnacentral:rRNA from 1 species